UGGGGAAUAUUGCGCAAUGGGCGAAAGCCUGACGCAGCGACGCCGCGUGGGUGAUGAAGGCCUUCGGGUCGUAAAGCCCUGUCGGGGGGGAAGAAGCAUUCCGAGCCUAAUACGCUCGGGAAUUGACGGUACCUCCUAAGGAAGCACCGGCUAACUCCGUGCCAGCAGCCGCGGUAAUACGGAGGGUGCUAGCGUUGUUCGGAAUCACUGGGCGUAAAGGGCGUGUAGGCGGUCUGCUAAGUCUGAUGUGAAAUCCCCUCGCUCAACGAGGGAACUGCGUCGGAUACUGGCAGACUCGAGUACCGGAGAGGAAGGUGGAAUUCCCGGUGUAGCGGUGAAAUGCGUAGAUAUCGGGAGGAACAUCGGUGGCGAAGGCGGCCUUCUGGACGGAUACUGACGCUGAGACGCGAAAGCGUGGGGAGCAAACAGG
rnacentral:rRNA from 1 species